GACGAACGCUGGCGGCGUGCUUAACACAUGCAAGUCGAACGGAAAGGCCCUGCUUUUGUGGGGUGCUCGAGUGGCGGACGGGUGAGUAACACGUGAGUAACCUGCCCUUGACUUUGGGAUAACUUCAGGAAACUGGGGCUAAUACCGGAUAGGAUCUCCUGCUGCAUGGUGGGGGUUGGAAAGUUUCGGCGGUUGGGGAUGGACUCGCGGCUUAUCAGCUUGUUGGUGGGGUAGUGGCUUACCAAGGCUUUGACGGGUAGCCGGCCUGAGAGGGUGACCGGCCACAUUGGGAAUGAGAUACGGCCCAGACUCCUACGGGAGGCAGCAGUGGGGAAUAUUGCACAAUGGGCGGAAGCCUGAUGCAGCAACGCCGCGUGCGGGAUGACGGCCUUCGGGUUGUAAACCGCUUUCGCCUGUGACGAAGCGUGAGUGACGGUAAUGGGUAAAGAAGCACCGGCUAACUACGUG
rnacentral:rRNA from 1 species